CCCUCCCCGGCACCCUGUUCCCUCCAGCACGGAGCACCCCCUUUCCUCCGGGCAGUCGACCCCCCUGCAGACAGCCCAGCGCCCACCGGUGCCUCCCGAGCGCCGUCCCGGAGCCGGCUCCCCGGCGGCAGGCGGCGGGGCAGGGCGCGGGGCUGCUUACCCGCUCUCCUCCUCCUCGAGCUCCGAGAUGUCCACGAAGAUGAGGAAGCCCACGAGCAGGAUUCCAAGUGAUGCCAGAAGAAUGAGGUCAGAACUUCCAGCCAGGACCUUCCCAUCAAAAGCCAAUCAUCUAGGUUUGAAGACAGAAGAACAGCUUGGGAUGCUGGAGGGUUCUGAUUCAGACCAUGUGGCAGUAGAGAACGAAUGGGAGAGGUGGUCUGUUGACAUCACCCCUUUAUGCCCUUGGUUUGGAGCAUGAGGAGGAGAAGAACACAGGCCAGACCAAUGGACAUUGCUAGCAAGAAUCCUAUGGUCUCAGAUGCAAGGAGCUCAUGCAUACUCCACAGUGUUACACACAUAAAAAUCAGCACUUGAAGAAGAACUAGGGAAUCCACCCAUUACAAUUACUUUGACUUCAACUCUAAACCGUACAUCCUUAUCUAAGGGCCUGCUUUCCCUGUGCACCCAAAACUCCCAUUGAAGUCAACUAUGGCAUUUUUAAAAUAAAAACUCCUUUAGUUUUUAGAAUUUCAGGACAUGGGAACCCACAUAAUACCAAACUAACAAAAAAGCUUGGAUGAAACAAACCACUAGAUCUCACGUAGACCUUCUCACCAGAUCUCCAGCCCAGUUUUGCAAACUUGAUGUCCCAAUAACUUGACAAGUACUCAGAAAAAUCAAUGUAAAUGUCUCGAUCUCAGCGAGUUUACCCCAGAGCUGGAUUUGAUGCCUGGACUUUGCAUUCAGUCAAACUCAUGAACCUUAUGAGGUUCACGCAUUCCUAGUGGGAAAAAAAAUCUCCGUUUAUACAUGGAAAUAUAGUGAUCAAUCAACUUUUAUCGCUCCAGCUUUCAUUAUAGCAGCUUAGAACAACAGAAUAAAAGCACGUAAUGAAAACAUUGUAAAAAUGUAAUAAAAACACACAAUACUUGACUGUGCAAGCACUGCUGUUUUAGCACAUCUUGGGGAACUGCACAGGAGAGAGCAGUCCAGUCUUCUGGUGUGCUGCCAGUAACCUCCAUAACAUACAUCACACUCUUUCCACUCCGGGAAUUGUGCUGAUUUAAACCACAGAAGUUAUAGGAGACCUUCAAAAUGUUUAGAUUCAGCAAAUACCUGAAAGGUCUCUGGAUGGGUUUUGUCGUCUUGGCUACGGAAAAGUUGGGUGGGAAAAUCGCUUGAGAACAGCCUUUCUCGUUGUACCAUGGAGCUUCCUGGAAAUAGCAAGGAGAGAAAAGACAGGUUCAGUUUGGGAUUGGAGGAAAGUUAGGGGAUGUGUGGGUAGGCAUGAUGGUCUUAAACAAUUUGACCUACCCAGACCCAUCUCUAAUUUAAACUUUUUGGACCAGAUUCAUCUUAGAUAUAAAUAGACUCAACUCCCAAAGUACCUGCCAAGGCCGGAUUUGGCUCUUCGUGGCUGGCUAGUAUCCCAAAGGUGCCACCCUCUUUGCUUUCAAGAGAUUAUUUCAUCUAAUCUAAUCCAGUCCAUGAAGCACUAUGGUAUAUGAGCACCUAACGAUCUCUUCCCCAGCUCUCAUUAUUAUAAUAUUCUGGCUCCAGAAUUAAUCCUUUCCCUCAUACAAUUUCAGUUUGAAAAAAAAAAGUGGGAAAUAUCUCCCAGGAUGGGAAGAUCUCAUUAGUUUCCCCUGCCCCCGUGUGGUAUGUUCAUACCCAUGUCUCUUUUCACAGUGAUAAAUAAAUCUAUGCAGCGAUUUUCCUGUGAGUUCCAAGAGUCCCAGAGAGUUUGCCUUUUAUUUUAAUAAUUAACACUUAAUUGAUUUUUUCACCUUCAAAAUGUUUCACAAACAUUAAAGAGACACUGUGAAUAUAACAGUCACUUUCUGAUUUGAAUAUUUUUUACCUGUUAUUACAAGUAACACCUAAGAUAACUGGACUGUAAGAGGUGAAAGAAAAUAUUAUUCUUGAUUUUGUUUGCUUUUGACAACAGUUUGAGCAUAAACAUUUCCACUGCUUCUGUGGAAGAGUCAGUCAUCCCCCCAACCUCCUCCCUUGUUUGUGUGGAUCUUUUUUAUGGACAAAGAGGAGAGAGAGAAAUUUAAAACAAGUUGAAGUCACUGGAGUUGCCCCAUUUACCCCAGCUCUGAAUUUGGCCCGAUGGAAUUUUAUUGUUCCUUUAUCUACCGGAAAGAAUGUUUAAAAGUUUAAUUGGCAUAUAACGAGAUAACUAUAACAAGUUAAUUAGUUCUCAAUUACGUUGCGUUUACCAUACGUUCUGAGUGUGCUCUUAGCAAUUAAGGACACCUAAUGAACUUGCUAUAGUGAUUGAGUUUGCCAUGUUAAGAAAACUAAAAUAAAACACAGAUAUAAAAAAUAAUGUGCACACAUAUUUUUAUAGCACAUUUGAAGCAAAGCAUGGUCUAGUGUGUAUGGACUUACACCUCCAGGGCUGCUGCAGAUUCUAUAAGGGAUAUGGCCAGUAAAUUUACUCUGGCACACCUAAUCAAAUCUGCUAUGAACCAGCUGGCUUUCAAGAUGGGCCUUACUGGAAAAAGUUUUCCUGGGAACAUUAUGAGAAUUUCAAAGGAAGAAGAGAGGAAAGGAAUCAAAGUUGCAUGAUGUCAAUCAGUCAUUCACCAUAGCUUUAGAAUAACAUAGUUCAGAUCAUUAAGGUGAUUGAAUGUGUUGGCGUGAACUGAAGACCUACUGUGUGACAACAGAAACUGCAGUGGAUGAAGGAAAAGGGUUA